rnacentral:misc_RNA from 1 species
ACAGGUGAGUCAUCGAAUCUUUGAACGCAACUUGCGCUCUCUGGUAUUCCGGAGAGCAUGCCUGUUUGAGUGUCAUGAUCUCUCAACCAAUAGGGUUUCUUAUUGGCUUGGAUCUGGGUGCUGCCAGCUUGUCUGGCUCGCCUUAAAGGAGUUAGCGAGUAUAGCAAUGUCGUCUGGCGUAAUAAGUUUCGCUGGGUUGACGUGUGAAGCACGCUUCUAAUCGCCCUCGGGCAAUUUUUGACUCUGGCCUCAAAUCAGGUAGGACUACCCGCUGAACUUAAGCAUAUCAAUAAGCGGAGG